AUUACCAAUCAUCAUUAAUUAUUUCAUUCAGUGCAAAAUCGGAACCAGGGGGAAUGUCUUUCCUAUUAGGAUUAGUGGAUUACCUAAUAGAGCAUGUGCCCUUCUGAUCAUCUGAAUUUUUAUGGGUCUCCACACAUUAGAUUGGGCAAGUACUAGCCUCCCAAGCCUCACCAAAUUUGCAGCCCAUAAAAAAUAUAGUUGUAGAAGAUCUUAUUACAUGCAAUGAGGUCUCUCCAUGUGCUUCAUAUAGUUUAUUACCUCCGCAUCAAAUGAAUAGUGAAGAGUACCAACAUCAUCCAUUGAGGACCACAUGACAUUUGAUUCCUCUCCUUGUUCUGACCCGACAACCGCCCACUGU
rnacentral:lncRNA from 1 species